AGCAGCCGCGGUAAUUCCAGCUCCAAUAGCGUAUAUUAAAGUUGUUGCAGUUAAAAGCUCGUAGUUGAAUUUCGGGGUUAGUAGGUUGGUCAUGCCUCUGGUAUGUACUGGUCUCACUGAUUCCUCCUUCCUGAUGAACCUUAAUGCCAUUUAUUUGGUGUUUUGGGGAAUUUGGACUGUUACUUUGAAAAAUUAGAGUGUUUAAAGCAAGCUAACGCUUGAAUACAUUAGCAUGGAAUAAUGAAAUAGGACGUUCGAUCCUAUUUUGUUGGUUUCUAGGAUUGACGUAAUGAUUAAUAGGGAUAGUUGGGGGCAUUAGUAUUCAAUUGUCAGAGGUGAAAUUCUUGGAUUUAUUGAAGACUAACUACUGCGAAAGCAUUUGCCAAGGAUGUUUUCAUUAAUCAAGAACGAAAGUUAGGGAUCGAAGACGAUCAGAUACCGUCGUAGUCUUAACCAUAAACUAUGCCGACUAGGGAUCGGAUGAUGUUAAUUUUUAAUGUACUCUAUUCGGCGCCGUUAC
rnacentral:misc_RNA from 1 species